UACGAAGGGGGCUAGCGUUGCUCGGAAUCACUGGGCGUAAAGGGUGCGUAGGCGGGUCUUUUAAGUCAGGGGUGAAAUCCUGGAGCUCAACUCCAGAACUGCCUUUGAUACUGAGGAUCUUGAGUUCGGGAGAGGUGAGUGGGACUGCGAGUGUAGAGGUGAAAUUCGUAGAUAUUCGCAAGAACACCAGUGGCGAAGGCGGCUCACUGGCCCGUUACUGACGCUGAGGCACGAAAGCGUGGGGAGCAAACAGG
rnacentral:rRNA from 1 species